GAUGAACGCUGGCGGCGUGCCUAAUACAUGCAAGUCGAGCGAACGGACGAGAAGCUUGCUUCUCUGAUGUUAGCGGCGGACGGGUGAGUAACACGUGGAUAACCUACCUAUAAGACUGGGAUAACUUCGGGAAACCGUAGCUAAUACCGGAUAAUAUUUUGAACCGCAUGGUUCAAAAGUGAAAGACGGUCUUGCUGUCACUUAUAGAUGGAUCCGCGCUGCAUUAGCUAGUUGGUAAGGUAACGGCUUACCAAGGCAACGAUGCAUAGCCGACCUGAGAGGGUGAUCGGCCACACUGGAACUGAGACACGGUCCAGACUCCUACGGGAGGCAGCAGUAGGGAAUCUUCCGCAAUGGGCGAAAGCCUGACGGAGCAACGCCGCGUGAGUGAUGAAGGUCUUCGGAUCGUAAAACUCUGUUAUUAGGGAAGAACAUAUGUGUAAGUAACUGUGCACAUCUUGACGGUACCUAAUCAGAAAGCCACGGCUAACUACGUGCCAGCAGCCGCGGUAAUACGUAGGUGGCAAGCGUUAUCCGGAAUAUUGGGCGUAAAGCGCGCGUAGGCGGUUUUUUUAAGUCUGAUGUGAAAGCCCACGGCGUCAACCGGGGAGGGUCAUUGGAAACUGGAAAACUUGAGUGCAGAAGAGGAAAGUGGAAUUCCAUGUGUAGCGGUGAAAUGCGCAGAGAUAUGGAGGAACACCAGUGGCGAAGGCGACUUUCUGGCCUGUAACUGACGCUGAUGUGCGAAAGCGUGGGGAUCAAACAGGAUUAGAUACCCUGGUAGUCCACGCCGUAAACGAUGAGUGCUAAGUGUUAGGGGGUUUCCGCCCCUUAGUGCUGCAGCUAACGCAUUAAGCACUCCGCCUGGGGAGUACGACCGCAAGGUUGAAACUCAAAGGAAUUGACGGGGACCCGCACAAGCGGUGGAGCAUGUGGUUUAAUUCGAAGCAACGCGAAGAACCUUACCAAAUCUUGACAUCCUUUGACAACUCUAGAGAUAGAGCCUUCCCCUUCGGGGGACAAAGUGACAGGUGGUGCAUGGUUGUCGUCAGCUCGUGUCGUGAGAUGUUGGGUUAAGUCCCGCAACGAGCGCAACCCUUAAGCUUAGUUGCCAUCAUUAAGUUGGGCACUCUAAGUUGACUGCCGGUGACAAACCGGAGGAAGGUGGGGAUGACGUCAAAUCAUCAUGCCCCUUAUGAUUUGGGCUACACACGUGCUACAAUGGACAAUACAAAGGGCAGCGAAACCGCGAGGUCAAGCAAAUCCCAUAAAGUUGUUCUCAGUUCGGAUUGUAGUCUGCAACUCGACUACAUGAAGCUGGAAUCGCUAGUAAUCGUAGAUCAGCAUGCUACGGUGAAUACGUUCCCGGGUCU
rnacentral:rRNA from 1 species